rnacentral:rRNA from 1 species
GAUGAACGCUAGCUACAGGCUUAACACAUGCAAGUCGAGGGGCAGCGGUAUCGAAAGCUUGCUUUCGGUAGCCGGCGACCGGCGCACGGGUGAGUAACGCGUAUCGAACCUGCCUCAUACUCGGGAAUAGCCUUGCGAAAGUAAGAUUAAUGCCCGGUGUUUUCAGAGUCCCGCAUGAGGCUUUGAACAAAGAUUUAUCGGUAUGAGAUGGCGAUGCGUCCCAUUAGCUUGUUGGCGGGGUAACGGCCCACCAAGGCAUCGAUGGGUAGGGGUUCUGAGAGGAAGGUCCCCCACAUUGGAACUGAGACACGGUCCAAACUCCUACGGGAGGCAGCAGUGAGGAAUAUUGGUCAAUGGGCGGAAGCCCGAACCAGCCAAGUAGCGUGCAGGAAGACGGCCCUCCGGGUUGUAAACUGCUUUUAGUUGGGAAUAAAACGGGGCUCGUGAGCCCCCUUGCAUGUACCGUCAGAAAAAGGACCGGCUAAUUCCGUG